rnacentral:rRNA from 1 species
GAUGAACGCUCGCGGCAGGCCUAAUACAUGCAAGUCGAACGGGAUCCAGAUCAAAGCUUGCUUUGGUUUGGUGAGAGUGGCGUACGGGUGCGUAACGCGUGAGCAACCUACCCUUGUCAGGGGGAUAGCCCGGCGAAAGUCGGAUUAAUACCGCAUGACAUCAUUGAGAGGCAUCUUUCGAUGAUCAAAGAUUUAUCGGACAAGGAUGGGCUCGCGUGACAUUAGCUAGUUGGUAAGGUAACGGCUUACCAAGGCUACGAUGUCUAGGGGCUCUGAGAGGGGAAUCCCCCACACUGGUACUGGGACACGGACCAGACUCCUACGGGAGGCAGCAGUAAGGAAUAUUGGUCAAUGGACGGAAGUCUGAACCAGCCAUGCCGCGUGCAGGAAGACGGCCCUAUGGGUUGUAAACUGCUUUUAUACGGGAACAAACGUCGGUACGUGUACCGGUCUGAGUGUACCGUAAGAAUAAGGAUCGGCUAACUCCGUG